UGNGAGUUAGCGCUCAUGGGAUGCUUCAGU
rnacentral:piRNA from 1 species